AGGGAAUCUUCGGCAAUGGACGGAAGUCUGACCGAGCAACGCCGCGUGAGUGAAGAAGGUUUUCGGAUCGUAAAGCUCUGUUGUAAGAGAAGAACGAGUGUGAGAGUGGAAAGUUCACACUGUGACGGUAACUUACCAGAAAGGGACGGCUAACUACGUGCCAGCAGCCGCGGUAAUACGUAGGUCCCGAGCGUUAUCCGGAUUUAUUGGGCGUAAAGCGAGCGCAGGCGGUUAGAUAAGUCUGAAGUUAAAGGCUGUGGCUUAACCAUAGUACGCUUUGGAAACUGUUUAACUUGAGUGCAGAAGGGGAGAGUGGAAUUCCAUGUGUAGCGGUGAAAUGCGUAGAUAUAUGGAGGAACACCGGUGGCGAAAGCGGCUCUCUGGUCUGUAACUGACGCUGAGGCUCGAAAGCGUGGGGAGCAAACAGGAUUAGAUACCCUGGUAGUCCACGCCGUAAACGAUGAGUGCUAGGUGUUGGGUCCUUUCCGGGACUCAGUGCCGCAGCUAACGCAUUAAGCACUCCGCCUGGGGAGUACGACCGCAAGGUUG
rnacentral:rRNA from 1 species